rnacentral:rRNA from 1 species
UACGAAGGGGGCUAGCGUUGCUCGGAAUCACUGGGCGUAAAGCGCACGUAGGCGGAUCUUUAAGUCAGGGGUGAAAUCCCAAGGCUCAACCUUGGAACUGCCUUUGAUACUGGGGAUCUCGAGUCCGGAAGAGGUUGGUGGAACUCCGAGUGUAGAGGUGAAAUUCGUAGAUAUUCGGAAGAACACCAGUGGCGAAGGCGGCAAACGGGUCCGGCACUGACGCUGAGGUGCGAAAGCGUGGGGAGCAAACAGG